UACGAAGGGUGCAAGCGUUACUCGGAAUUACUGGGCGUAAAACGUGCGUAGGCGGUUUGUUAAGUCUGUCGUGAAAGCCCCGGGCUCAACCUGGGAACUGCAUCCGAGACUGGAAGGCUAGAGUACUGGAGAGGGUGGUGGAAUUCCCCGUGUAGCGGUGAAAUGCGUAGAGAUGAGGAGGAACACCAGUGGCGAAGGCGGCCACCUGGACAGUAACUGACGCUGAGGCGCGAAAGCGUGGGUAGCAAACAGG
rnacentral:rRNA from 1 species